GUGAGGAAUAUUGGACAAUGGGGGAAACCCUGAUCCAGCCAUGCCGCGUGAGUGAUGAAGGCCUUAGGGUUGUAAAGCUCUUUCAGUGGGGACGAUAAUGACGGUACCCACAGAAGAAGCCCCGGCUAACUUCGUGCCAGCAGCCGCGGUAAUACGAAGGGGGCUAGCGUUGUUCGGAUUUACUGGGCGUAAAGCGCACGUAGGCGGAUCGUUAAGUCGGGGGUGAAAUCCUGGAGCUCAACUCCAGAACUGCCUUCGAUACUGGCGAUCUUGAGUCCGGAAGAGGUGAGUGGAACUCCUAGUGUAGAGGUGGAAUUCGUAGAUAUUAGGAAGAACACCAGUGGCGAAGGCGGCUCACUGGUCCGGUACUGACGCUGAGGUGCGAAAGCGUGGGGAGCAAACAGGAUUAGAAACCCCUGUAGUCC
rnacentral:rRNA from 1 species